UUGAUCCUGGCUCAGAACGAACGCUGGCGGCGCGUUUAAGCAUGCAAGUCGAGGGGUAGAGAAUCUUCGGAUUCUUGAGACCGGCGAACGGGUGAGUAACACGUAGGUGAUCUGCCACGAGGUUGGGGAUAGCCCAUGGAAACAUGGGGUAAUACCGAAUGAGCUCUUUUUACUAUGGUGAGAAGAGGAAAAGCGCUUCGGCGCUGCCUUGUGAUGAGCCUGCGGCUGAUUAGCUUGUUGGUGGGGUAACGGCCUACCAAGGCAACGAUCAGUAGCCGGCCUGAGAGGGUGAUCGGCCACACUGGGACUGAGAUACGGCCCAGACUCCUACGGGAGGCAGCAGCUAAGAAUCUUCCGCAAUGGACGAAAGUCUGACGGAGCGACGCCGCGUGGGUGAAAAAGGCCGAGAGGUUGUAAAGCCCUUUUCUGUCUGAGGAAUAAGCUUGGGAGGGAAUGCCCGAGUGAUGACGGUAGGACAGGAAUAAGCCCCGGCUAAUUACGUGCCAGCAGCCGCGGUAACACGUAUGGGGCGAGCGUUGUUCGGAAUUAUUGGGCGUAAAGGGCGCGUAGGCGGAUAUACAAGUCUGGUGUGAAAGACCGCAGCUUAACUGCGGGAGCGCGCUGGAAACUGUAUGUCUUGAAUCCUUGAGGGGAAACUGGAAUUCCUGGUGUAGGGGUGAAAUCUGUAGAUAUCAGGAAGAACAUCGGUGGCGAAGGCGAGUUUCUGGCAAGUGAUUGACGCUGAGGCGCGAAAGCGUGGGGAGCAAACAGGAUUAGAUACCCUGGUAGUCCACGCUGUAAACGAUGUGCACUAGGCGUUGGGGUGUUGAAACCUCAGUGCCGGAGCUAACGUGGUAAGUGCACCGCCUGGGGAGUAUGCCGGCAAC
rnacentral:rRNA from 1 species